GAUGAACGCUGGCGGCGUGCCUAAUACAUGCAAGUCGAGCGAACAGACGAGGAGCUUGCUCCUCUGACGUUAUCGGCGGACGGGUGAGUAACACGUGGAUAACCUACCUAUAAGACUGGGAUAACUUCGGGAAACCGGAGCUAAUACCGGAUAAUAUAUUGAACCGCAUGGUUCAAUAGUGAAAGACGGUUUUGCUGUCACUUAUAGAUGGAUCCGCGCCGCAUUAGCUAGUUGGUAAGGUAACGGCUUACCAAGGCAACGAUGCAUAGCCGACCUGAGAGGGUGAUCGCACACACUGGAACUGAGCCACGGCCGAGACUCCUACGGGAGGAAGCAGCAGGGAAUCUUCCGCAAUGGGCGAAAGCGUGACGGAGCAACGCCGCGUGAGUGAUGAAGGUCUUCGGAUCGUAAAACUCUGUUAUCCGGGAAGAACAAAUGUGUAAGUAACUAUGCACGUCUUGACGGUACCUAAUCAGAAAGCCACGGCUAACUACGUG
rnacentral:rRNA from 1 species